UUCUGUGCUCAAUUCAGCAGGAAAUACACUAACAUUGGAACGAUACAGAGAAGAUUAGCAUGGCACCUGUGCAAGGACGACAUGCAAAUUCGUGGAGCAUUCCAUAUUUUU
rnacentral:snRNA from 1 species